AUUGAACGCUGGCGGCAUGCCUUACACAUGCAAGUCGAACGGCAGCAUGGAGGAGCUUGCUCCUCUGAUGGCGAGUGGCGAACGGGUGAGUAAAGCAUCGGAACGUACCGUGUAGUGGGGGAUAACGUAGCGAAAGUUACGCUAAUACCGCAUACGCACUGAGGUGGAAAGCAGGGGAUCGCAAGACCUUGCGCUAUACGAGCGGCCGAUGUCAGAUUAGCUAGUUGGUAGGGUAAAGGCCUACCAAGGCGACGAUCUGUAGCGGGUCUGAGAGGACGACCAGCCACACUGGGACUGAGACACGGCCCAGACUCCUACGGGAGGCAGCAGUGGGGAAUUUUGGACAAUGGGCGCAAGCCUGAUCCAGCAAUGCCGCGUGCAGGAUGAAGGCCUUCGGGUUGUAACUAGCUUUGUACGGUAACGAAACGGUAGAGCUCUAAUACAG
rnacentral:rRNA from 1 species